rnacentral:rRNA from 1 species
CCUACGGGAGGCUGCAGUGGGGAAUAUUGCACAAUGGGCGCAAGCCUGAUGCAGCCAUGCCGCGUGUGUGAAGAAGGCCUUCGGGUUGUAAAGCACUUUCAGCGGGGAGGAAGGCGGUGAGGUUAAUAACCUCAUCGAUUGACGUUACCCGCAGAAGAAGCACCGGCUAACUCCGUGCCAGCAGCCGCGGUAAUACGGAGGGUGCAAGCGUUAAUCGGAAUUACUGGGCGUAAAGCGCACGCAGGCGGUCUGUCAAGUCGGAUGUGAAAUCCCCGGGCUCAACCUGGGAACUGCAUUCGUAACUGGCAGGCUAGAGUCUUGUAGAGGGGGGUAGAAUUCCAGGUGUAGCGGUGAAAUGCGUAGAGAUCUGGAGGAAUACCGGUGGCGAAGGCGGCCCCCUGGACAAAGACUGACGCUCAGGUGCGAAAGCGUGGGGAGCAAACAGGAUUAGAUACCCCGGUAGUC